rnacentral:lncRNA from 1 species
UCUUGAAGAGGUUCCCAAUAUAGAGAAGCUAGUGGUACGUGGUGGUUCCUUGAAGGAGAUGUUCUGCUGUCAAAGUCCUAACAAUGAAGAUUAUAGUGGACUUCUGUUACAAUUGAAAGAAUUACGCUUAGAGUCCCUUCAAGAGUUGGUUUCCAUUGGGUUAGAGAACUCUUGGACUGAGCCCUUUGUCAGAAAUCUUGAAACCUUUGAAGUCAUUAGCUGUUCCAGUUUAAAAAACUUGGUAACAUGCAGAGAGUCUUUCUCGAAUCUGAUAUGUUUAAAAUUUGAAAACUGCGAUAGCUUGUCAUAUUUGUUCACAUCUUCAACCGCCAAAAGUUUGGCUAAACUCCAAAGAAUGAAGAUAAAAAAGUGUAAAUCAAUUGAAGAAAUAGUAUCUAAAGAAGAGGAGGAAUCAGAUAAAGAUGAAAUAAUAUUUCCGAAGCUCAAUUGUUUGAAACUUAAAUAUCUGAAAAAUCUCCGAAGGUUUUACAAAGGGAGUUUAAGUUUUCCACUGUUGGAGGAAUUGUCAAUAAGAGAUUGCGACGAUAUGGUAAGUUUAUGUCAAGGUACUCUGGAGGCAAGUAAGUUGUCUCAAGUUAUACCAUUGGAAAUUGAUCUUAGCUCUGCUAUAUGGAAGGAAUUUAUGAGCAAGGUACGUGUUUAUUUAUUCAACAUUCUGGUAGCAAACAAGAGACAUUUUCUAUCAUUACAAACAAAAAAUAUAUAUAGAAAAUCAUACAUAAAAUUUAUAAUAAACGUUUAAUCAAAUGUAUCUACAUUUCCUUUAGACCUUUUAUUUGAGAAAAAAAAAAAUGAGUCUUGCAAAAUAUUCAACUUACAGAUCAAAUAACUAAAAAAGAGAAAUAAAUAUAUAUAUAUAUAUAUAUAUAUAUAUAUAUAAAGAUUUUAUUGGUUGACAUGUGCUGAUUUCGCCAGAUUGGAAGGAGAUCGAGUGUUGAGUUCAAAGAUAGGGCAGACCUAAACGAGAUAUGGCGUCUCUCACUGCAAUUCCAGGACUUCUGUUUCAGUAACUUGGAAACCUUGGUUGUGGAUGGGUGCCAACUUUUAUCAUAUGUAAUUCCCUUCCAUGUGCUUCCUUUGUUACCUGAAUUGCAAACAUUGGAAGUUCGAAACUGUGAUUCUGUUAAAACCAUAUUUGAUGUCAAAUCUUCACAACACACAUUCACUUUUCCUCUAAAGAAAUUAGUUUUACUGAAGCUGCCAAAUCUUGAAACUAUUUGGAAUGAAGAUCCUGCUGAAAUUGUUACAGAGCCUAAUCCAACUCAUCCAGAACAAACAAAUCCUAAGGUAACAUUCCCCUGUGAUUUGCCCAAGUUCAAGCAUAGUUGUAUACAUUGCAUUCAUGAUCCAACAGCAUAAUAGUACAUGCAUUUGAGGAUUUUUUUUUCCAAGACAAUUACAUAUAUUCUUCUACUUCCAUUGAAAUUAUCAUGCAUCAAAUAUUGCUUAAAUCUUUAUAAACAAUCAUAGAAAGUUUGUUUCAUUAUUUUCUUCAAGGAGGAACCACCUCUCAUAUCAUUUCAUCUAAAAUUUUAAACUCGAAAUUGUUGUUAAGUGCAUACGGUCUGGCUUGUUCAUCUUUUUUACAUUUUUUUAAAUAAACGUUUUUUCUUUCAAAUCGACUUAUUCACACCUAUUUUUAUUUUAUAUUGAUUUGUUUAGUUUUUUACUAAUUAUCAGACUUAUAUUAGCAUGAAAGUUCACGGUUUCAAUUUUAUAUAGAGAGAAGAAUAUAUAUGACUGUGCUAACUGCUUUCACUUCGUUAUUGGUUUCUCUUUGUAGCUAAUUACACCGAACUUAGAACACCUGACAGUGGGUGAAAAUGAAUUAAAGAUAAUUGUCGAUGGGAAAUUUCAGAGAAACCUUUUACACAAGUUAAAAGUUCUCGGUCUGUGCUUUGAUAUGGAGUGUGAUGAAUUUCUGGAGUAUGGAUUUCUACAACAGUUGCCAAAUGUAAUGAAGCUUAUGGUGUGUGACAGUUCCUUCAAAGUGAUUUUCUGCUACCACAUACCUAAUAAUAGUGAAAUUCUUAUACAAUUGAAAGAAUUACGCUUGGAAUCCCUUCAAGAGUUAGUUUCCAUUGGCUUAGAAAACUCAUGGACUGAACCCUUUGUCAGAAAUCUUGAAACCUUUGAAGUCAUUAGCUGUUCCAUUUUAAAAAACUUGGUAACAUGCAGAGUGUCUUUCUCGAAUCUGAUAUGUUUAAAAGUUGAAAACU